GGGAUUGCCUCAGUAACGGCGAGUGAAGCGGCAACAGCUCAAAUUUGAAAUCUGGCUCCUCUCGGGGUCCGAGUUGUAAUUUGUAGAGAGUGUUUCGGGGGAGACCGCGGUCUAAGUCCAUUGGAACAUGGCGUCAUAGAGGGUGAGAAUCCCGUCUGUGACCGCGGAUCGAGCCCAUGUGAAGCCUCUUCGACGAGUCGAGUUGUUUGGGAAUGCAGCUCAAAAUGGGUGGUAAAUUUCAUCUAAAGCUAAAUACUGGCUGGAGACCGAUAGCGCACAAGUAGAGUGAUCGAAAGAUGAAAAGCACUUUGGAAAGAGAGUUAAACAGUACGUGAAAUUGUUGAAAGGGAAGCGCUUGCGACCAGACCUGCCCGUGGGCGAUCAGCCGCUGUUCUCAGCGGUGCACUCGUUCCACGAUCAGGCCAGCAUCGGUUUCGGCGGUCGGAUAAAGGCCUUGGGAAUGUAGCUUCCCUUCGGGGGAGUCUUAUAGCCCUCGGUGCAAUGCGGCCAGCCGGGACCGAGGACCGCGCUUCGGCUAGGAUGCUGGCGUAAUGGUCGUAAGCGACCCGUCUUGAAACACGGACCAAGGAGUCUAACAUCUAUGCGAGUGUUUGGGUGUUAAACCCAUACGCGGAAUGAAAGUGAACGGAGGUGAGAACCCUUAAGGGCGCAUCAUCGACCGAUCCAGAUGUCUUCGGAUGGAUUUGAGUAUGAGCAUAGCUGUUGGGACCCGAAAGAUGGUGAACUAUGCCUGAAUAGGGUGAAGCCAGAGGAAACUCUGGUGGAGGCUCGCAGCGGUUCUGACGUGCAAAUCGAUCGUCAAAUUUGGGUAUAGGGGCGAAAGACUAAUC
rnacentral:rRNA from 1 species